rnacentral:pre_miRNA from 1 species
UUAGCUCAUAUUUGUAUGGAAUGGGAUCGUUUGCGUACGUUUGCCGCUAGGGGCGCUGUUCCAAUCGCAUACAAAAUUGGGUUA